rnacentral:rRNA from 1 species
AGUUUUGAUCAUGGCUCAGAUUGAACGCUGGCGGGAUGUUUACACAUGCAAGUCGAACGCAGCACGGACUUCGGUCUGGUGGCGAGUGGCGAACGGGUGAGUAAUGUAUCGGAACGCCUAGUAGCGGGGAUAACUACGCGAAAGCGUAGCUAAUACCGCAUACGCCCUUCGGGGGAAAGUGGGGACCUUCGGGCCUCGCACUAUUAGAGCGGCCGAUAUCGGAUUAGCUAGUUGGUGGGGUAACGGCUCACCAAGGCGACGAUCCGUAGCUGGUUUGAGAGGACGACCAGCCACACUGGGACUGAGACACGGCCCAGACUCCUACGGAGGCAGCAGUGGGGAAUUUUGGACAAUGGGGAAACCCUGAUCCAGCCAUCCCGCGUGCGAUGAAGGCCUUCGGGUUGUAAAGCACUUUUGGCAGGAAAGAAACGGCACGGGAUAAUACCCCGUGCAACUGACGGUACCUGCAGAAUAAGCACCGGCUAACUACGUGCCAGCAGCCGCGGUAAUACGUAGGCAAGCGUUAAUCGGAAUUACUGGGCGGCGUGCGCAGGCGGUUCGAAAGAAAGAUGUGAAAUCCCAGAGCUUAACUUUGGAACUGUAUUUUUAACUACCGAGCUAGAGUGUGUCAGAGGGAGGUGGAAUUCCGCGUGUAGCAGUGAAAUGUGCAGAUAUGCGGAGGAACACCGAUGGCGAAGGCAGCCUCCCGAUAACACUGACGCUCAUGCACGAAAGCGUGGGGAGCAAACAGGAUUAGAUACCCUGGUAGUCCACGCCCUAAACGAUGUCAACUAGCUGUUGGGGCCUUCGGGCCUUGGUAGCGCAGCUAACGCGUGAAGUUGACCGCCUGGGAGUACGGUCGCAAGAUUAAAACUCAAAGGAAUUGACGGGGGACCCGCACAAGCGGUGGAUGAUGUGGAUUAAUUCGAUGCAACGCGAAAAACCUUACCUACCCUUGACAUGUCUGGAAUCCCGAAGAGAUUUGGGAGUGCUCGCAAGAGAACCGGAACACAGGUGCUGCAUGGCUGUCGUCAGCUCGUGUCGUGAGAUGUUGGGUUAAGUCCCGCAACGAGCGCAACCCUUGUCAUUAGUUGCUACGAAAGGGCACUCUAAUGAGACUGCCGGUGACAAACCGAGGAAGGUGGGGAUGACGUCAAGUCCUCAUGGCCCUUAUGGGUAGGGCUUCACACGUCAUACAAUGGUCGGGACAGAGGGUCGCCAACCCGCGAGGGGGAGCCAAUCCCAGAAACCUGAUCGUAGUCCGGAUCACAGUCUGCAACUCGACUGCGUGAAGUCGGAAUCGCUAGUAAUCGCGGAUCAGCAUGUCGCGGUGAAUACGUUCCCGGGUCUUGUACACACUGCCCGUCACACCAUGGGAGUGGGUUUUACCAGAGGUAGUUAGCCUAACCGUAAGGAGGGCGAUUACCACGGUAGGAUUCAUGACUGGGGUGAAGUCGUAACAAGGUAA